rnacentral:rRNA from 1 species
GGGAUAGCCUUUCGAAAGAAAGAUUAAUACCCGAUGGCAUAAUGAUUCCGCAUGGUUUCAUUAUUAAAGGAUUCCGGUAAAGGAUGGGGAUGCGUUCCAUUAGGUUGUUGGUGAGGUAACGGCUCACCAAGCCUUCGAUGGAUAGGGGUUCUGAGAGGAAGGUCCCCCACAUUGGAACUGAGACACGGUCCAAACUCCUACGGGAGGCAGCAGUGAGGAAUAUUGGUCAAUGGGCGCUAGCCUGAACCAGCCAAGUAGCGUGAAGGAUGAAGGCUCUAUGGGUCGUAAACUUCUUUUAUAUAAGAAUAAAGUGCAGUAUGUAUACUGUUUUGUAUGUAUAAUAUGAAUAAGGAUCGGCUAACUCCGUGCCAGCAGCCGCGGUAAUACGGAGGAUCCGAGCGUUAUCCGGAUUUAUUGGGUUUAAAGGGAGCGUAGGUGGACUGGUAAGUCAGUUGUGAAAGUUUGCGGCUCAACCGUAAAAUUGCAGUUGAUACUGUCAGUCUUGAGUACAGUAGAGGUGGGCGGAAUUCGUGGUGUAGCGGUGAAAUGCUUAGAUAUCACGAAGAACUCCGAUUGCGAAGGCAGCUCACUGGACUGCAACUGACACUGAUGCUCGAAAGUGUGGGUAUCAAACAGGAUUAGAUACCCUGGUAGUCCACACAGUAAACGAUAAAUACUCGCUGUUUGCGAUAUACAGUAAGCGGCCAAG